AUGCUCGGGACGGCCAACGUCUCCGACAUAUUCCCGCCGAUCGCCGCGCUCGACCUCCAGGGCCUGCGCCGCAGGAUGACGAACCUCUUCGCCAUCAUGUACCGCCACUUCGACGAUCAGGUGGCUCUACGGCGGCGUAGCCGGGAAGCCGGAGAGGCGCCCAAGAAGGACGUGUUGGACACGGUCCUCGAUAAGGACGGCGAAUGGAAGCAGGAGGGGUCUCAGCUAAGCCAUGAUGUCAUGAGAGCACUCCUCUCUGAUUUGUACGGCGCUGGAGCGAGCACGACAGCGGCUCUCAUCGAGUGGGGAAUGGUGGAUCUGCUUCAGAACCCAGAGGUGAUGCGCAAGGUCAAGGAGGAGCUCGCUACGGUUCUUGGCGACAAACCGCUCAUGGAAGAAUCCGACAUUGCCCGGCUCCCAUACCUCCAAGUCGUCGUCAAAGAGAUCCUUCGUCUGCGGAUGGUGGUGCCGCUAGUACCUCGCAAAGCGGAGGCUGACAUCGAGGUGAAUGGUUACAGGAUCCCUAAAGGCACCAACGUGAUCCUCAACGCAUGGGCGAUUAACCGGAGCGUCGACGCAUGGUCGGAUCCGGAUAAGUUCGUCCCAGAGAGGUUCAUCGGCGGCGAGACCAAGAACUUCCAGCUGGGGCAGGAUUUUGACAUGAUCCCAUUCGGUCUUGGCCGACGCAUCUGCCCCGGGAUGCCGCUUGCACAGAAGCUGAUACCCCUGAUACUUGGCACGCUUCUCCAUCGGUUCGAGUGGGAGCUUCCGGCGGAGGUCAAGGAGGCUGGGAUAGACAUGACAGAGAAGUGUGGGGUGGUGUUAUCUCUAGUCACCCCCCUUACAGCCAUACCCAGGGAAAUAUGA
rnacentral:rRNA from 1 species